GGCGUUAUGGUUUAUGGUGUGGUGAACAUGUUGACCGUGGGCGUCACUGCAAUCCUCACAUGUUGCUUUCUAUUUUUAAAGUAGAUUUUUACGGCCUGAGACACUGCUGCCCAGUCCAGAUGUCUGUGGAUCCUUUGACCUCAGCGAGAGUUGGAUGUCUGUACUUCAGGCUCAAAGAACCAUGAACGGACACUUUGUUGAGGAUCAGCAUGUGACUCGAGGGAUGAUGAGAUCAUGGGAAGGAUGAUGGGAGAUGAAUGAAAGCGGGACUCACGAUAAUGAUAGUGCAG